GCGUCGAAGGCGUGUAGACUGCUGCCCUCCGAAGGCAGGGGUUGCUGGUUCGAUCCCAGCCGGGCGCGCCA
rnacentral:tRNA from 1 species